GCUAAGGUGGCAGAGCCCGGUAAUUGCAAAAGGCCUAAGCCCUUUCACCCAGAGGUUCAAAUCCUCUCCUAAGCU
rnacentral:tRNA from 2 species